AUUGAACGCUGGCGGCAUGCCUUACACAUGCAAGUCGAACGGCAGCACGGGAGCAAUCCUGGUGGCGAGUGGCGAACGGGUGAGUAAUACAUCGGAACGUGCCCAAUCGUGGGGGAUAACGCAGCGAAAGCUGUGCUAAUACCGCAUACGAUCUACGGAUGAAAGCAGGGGAUCGCAAGACCUUGCGCGAAUGGAGCGGCCGAUGGCAGAUUAGGUAGUUGGUGAGGUAAAGGCUCACCAAGCCGUCGAUCUGUAGCUGGUCUGAGAGGACGACCAGCCACACUGGGACUGAGACACGGCCCAGACUCCUACGGGAGGCAGCAGUGGGGAAUUUUGGACAAUGGGCGAAAGCCUGAUCCAGCCAUGCCGCGUGCAGGAUGAAGGCCUUCGGGUUGUAAACUGCUUUUGUACGGAACGAAACGGCCUUUUCUAAUAAAGAGGGCUAAUGACGGUACCGUAAGAAUAAGCACCGGCUAACUACGUGCCAGCAGCCGCGGUAAUACGUAGGGUGCAAGCGUUAAUCGGAAUUACUGGGCGUAAAGCGUGCGCAGGCGGUUAUGUAAGACAGUUGUGAAAUCCCCGGGCUCAACCUGGGAACUGCAUCUGUGACUGCAUAGCUAGAGUACGGUAGAGGGGGAUGGAAUUCCGCGUGUAGCAGUGAAAUGCGUAGAUAUGCGGAGGAACGCCGAUGGCGAAGGCAAUCCCCUGGACCUGUACUGACGCUCAUGCACGAAAGCGUGGGGAGCAAACAGG
rnacentral:rRNA from 1 species